rnacentral:rRNA from 2 species
CGCCCUUUUCCGGUUGAUCCUGCCGGACCCGACUGCUAUCGGAUUGAGAUUUAGCCAUGCGAGUUGAACGUCCCUUGAUUGCAGGGGGCGUAGCAUACGGCUCAGUAACACGUAGUCAACCUGCCCUGGAGACGCGGAUAACCCCGGGAAACUGGGACCAAUCCGUGAUAGGUCGCCCCAUCUGGAAGGAGGGGCGGCCCAAAGGGGAAUUGUGGGCUUCCACUUUUCUCGCUCUAGGAUGGGACUGCGGCCGAUCAGGCUGUUGGCGGGGUAAUGGCCCACCAAACCUGUAACCGGUACGGGCCUUGAGAGAGGUGGCCCGGAGAUGGACACUGAGACAAGGGUCCAGGUCCUACGGGGCGCAGCAGGCGCGAAACCUUCGCAAUGUGCGAAAGCAUGACGAGGUUAAUCCGAGUGGCUUCCGCUGAGGAAGUCUUUUGCCGACUGUAAAAAGGUCGGAGAAUAAGGGGAGGGCAAGUCUGGUGUCAGCCGCCGCGGUAAUACCAGCUCCUCGAGUGGUCGGGGCGAUUAUUGGGCCUAAAGCAUCCGUAGCCGGUUCCGUAGGUCUCCUGCAAAAUCCAGUCGCUCAACGAUUGGCCCGCAGGAGAUACCGCGGGACUAGGAGGCGGGAGAGGUGGACGGUACUCCACGUGUAGGGGUAAAAUCCUUUGAUCCGUGGAAGACCACCAGUGGCGAAGGCGGUCCACCAGAACGCGCUCGACGGUGAGGGAUGAAAGCUGGGGGAGCGAACCGGAUUAGAUACCCGGGUAGUCCCAGCCGUAAACGAUGCUAGCUAGAUGAUCCGAUCGUAAAUCAUGAUCGGAGUGUCGCAGGGAAGCCGUUAAGCUAGCCGCCUGGGGAGUACGGUCGCAAGACUGAAACUUAAAGGAAUUGGCGGGGGAGCACCACAAGGGGUGAAGCCUGCGGUUCAAUUGGAGUCAACGCCAGGAAACUUACCAGGAGAGACAGCAGAUUGAGGGUCAGACUGAAGAUCUUACCUGACGAGCUGAGAGGAGGUGCAUGGCCGUCGCCAGCUCGUGCCGUGAGGCGUCCUGUUAAGUCAGGCAACGAGCGAGACCCAAAGGGCGAAU